rnacentral:rRNA from 1 species
GGGUUGUGAGGUUAAGCGACUAAGCGUACACGGUGGAUGCCCUGGCAGUCAGAGGCGAUGAAGGACGUGCUAAUCUGCGAAAAGCGUCGGUAAGGUGAUAUGAACCGUUAUAGCCGGCGAUGUCCGAAUGGGGAAACCCAGUGUGAUUCGUCACACUAUCGUUAACUGAAUACAUAGGUUAACGAGGCGAACCGGGGGAACUGAAACAUCUAAGUACCCCGAGGAAAAGAAAUCAACCGAGAUUCCCCCAGUAGCGGCGAGCGAACGGGGAGCAGCCCAGAGUUUGAAUCAGCUUGUGUGUUAGUGGAACGGUCUGGAAAGUCCGACGGUACAGGGUGAUAGUCCCGUACACCAAAAUGCACAGGCUGUGAACUCGAAGAGUAGGGCGGGACACGUGGUAUCCUGUCUGAAUAUGGGGGGACCAUCCUCCAAGGCUAAAUACUCCUGACUGACCGAUAGUGAACCAGUACCGUGAGGGAAAGGCGAAAAGAACCCCGGCGAGGGGAGUGAAAAAGAACCUGAAACCGUGUACGUACAAGCAGUGGGAGCACCUUCGGGUGUGACUGCGUACCUUUUGUAUAAUGGGUCAGCGACUUAUAUUCUGUAGCAAGGUUAACCGUAUAGGGGAGCCGCAGGGAAACCGAGUCUUAACUGGGCGUUAAGUUGCAGGGUAUAGACCCGAAACCCGGUGAUCUAGCCAUGGGCAGGUUGAAGGUUGGGUAACACUAACUGGAGGACCGAACCGACUAAUGUUGAAAAAUUAGCGGAUGACUUGUGGCUGGGGGUGAAAGGCCAAUCAAACCGGGAGAUAGCUGGUUCUCCCCGAAAGCUAUUUAGGUAGCGCCUCGUGAAUUCAUCUUCGGGGGUAGAGCACUGUUUCGGCUAGGGGGUCAUCCCGACUUACCAACCCGAUGCAAACUACGAAUACCGAAGAAUGUUAUCACGGGAGACACACGGCGGGUGCUAACGUCCGUCGUGAAGAGGGAAACAACCCAGACCGCCAGCUAAGGUCCCAAAGUCAUGGUUAAGUGGGAAACGAUGUGGGAAGGCACAGACAGCCAGGAUGUUGGCUUAGAAGCAGCCAUCAUUUAAAGAAAGCGUAAUAGCUCACUGGUCGAGUCGGCCUGCGCGGAAGAUGUAACGGGGCUAAACCAUGCACCGAAGCUGCGGCAGCGACACUAUGUGUUGUUGGGUAGGGGAGCGUUCUGUAAGCCUGCGAAGGUGUGCUGUGAGGCAUGCUGGAGGUAUCAGAAGUGCGAAUGCUGACAUAAGUAACGAUAAAGCGGGUGAAAAGCCCGCUCGCCGGAAGACCAAGGGUUCCUGUCCAACGUUAAUCGGGGCAGGGUGAGUCGACCCCUAAGGCGAGGCCGAAAGGCGUAGUCGAUGGGAAACAGGUUAAUAUUCCUGUACUUGGUGUUACUGCGAAGGGGGGACGGAGAAGGCUAUGUUAGCCGGGCGACGGUUGUCCCGGUUUAAGCAUGUAGGCUGGUUGUCCAGGCAAAUCCGGAUAAUCAAGGCUGAGGUGUGAUGACGAGGCACUACGGUGCUGAAGUAACAAAUGCCCUGCUUCCAGGAAAAGCCUCUAAGCAUCAGGUAACAUCAAAUCGUACCCCAAACCGACACAGGUGGUCAGGUAGAGAAUACCAAGGCGCUUGAGAGAACUCGGGUGAAGGAACUAGGCAAAAUGGUGCCGUAACUUCGGGAGAAGGCACGCUGGUGUGUAGGUGAAGUCCCUGCGGAUGGAGCUGAGACCAGUCGAAGAUACCAGCUGGCUGCAACUGUUUAUUAAAAACACAGCACUGUGCAAACACGAAAGUGGACGUAUACGGUGUGACGCCUGCCCGGUGCCGGAAGGUUAAUUGAUGGGGUUAUCCGUAAGGAGAAGCUCUUGAUCGAAGCCCCGGUAAACGGCGGCCGUAACUAUAACGGUCCUAAGGUAGCGAAAUUCCUUGUCGGGUAAGUUCCGACCUGCACGAAUGGCGUAAUGAUGGCCAGGCUGUCUCCACCCGAGACUCAGUGAAAUUGAACUCGCUGUGAAGAUGCAGUGUACCCGCGGCAAGACGGAAAGACCCCGUGAACCUUUACUAUAGCUUGACACUGAACAUUGAGCCUUGAUGUGUAGGAUAGGUGGGAGGCUUUGAAGCGUGGACGCCAGUCUGCGUGGAGCCAACCUUGAAAUACCACCCUUUAAUGUUUGAUGUUCUAACGUUGGCCCCUUACCGGGGUUGCGGACAGUGUCUGGUGGGUAGUUUGACUGGGGCGGUCUCCUCCCAAAGCGUAACGGAGGAGCACGAAGGUUAGCUAAUCCUGGUCGGACAUCAGGAGGUUAGUGCAAUGGCAUAAGCUAGCUUGACUGCGAGCGUGACGGCGCGAGCAGGUGCGAAAGCAGGUCAUAGUGAUCCGGUGGUUCUGAAUGGAAGGGCCAUCGCUCAACGGAUAAAAGGUACUCCGGGGAUAACAGGCUGAUACCGCCCAAGAGUUCAUAUCGACGGCGGUGUUUGGCACCUCGAUGUCGGCUCAUCACAUCCUGGGGCUGAAGUAGGUCCCAAGGGUAUGGCUGUUCGCCAUUUAAAGUGGUACGCGAGCUGGGUUUAGAACGUCGUGAGACAGUUCGGUCCCUAUCUGCCGUGGGCGCUGGAGAAUUGAGGGGGGCUGCUCCUAGUACGAGAGGACCGGAGUGGACGCAUCACUGGUGUUCGGGUUGUCAUGCCAAUGGCACUGCCCGGUAGCUAAAUGCGGAAGAGAUAAGUGCUGAAAGCAUCUAAGCACGAAACUUGCCCCGAGAUGAGUUCUCCCUGAGACUUUAAGUCUCCUGAAGGAACGUUGAAGACGACGACGUUGAUAGGCCGGGUGUGUAAGCGCAGCGAUGCGUUGAGCUAACCGGUACUAAUGAACCGUGAGGCUUAACCUUACAACGCCGAAG